UCUGGGCACAGGUAAACUUUG
rnacentral:miRNA from 1 species